GUUACGAAGUACGCAAGCUGCUUAGUGGCGGACGGGUGAGUAACGCGUGGGCAUUCCCGNCCUCUAGCCUGGGAUAACAGUUCGAAAGGACUGCUAACACCGGAUAAAGUUAUUUUGCGGCAUCGUGAAAUAAUUAAAGUUUACACUAGAGGAUGAGCCCGCGUCCCAUUAGCUAGUUGGUGAGGUAACGGCCCACCAAGGCGACGAUGGGUAGCCGACCUGAGAGGGUGAUCGGCCACACUGGGACUGAGACACGGCCCAUACUCCUACGGGAGUCAGCAGUGGGACAGUUGGCUCAGAAUGAACGCUGGCGGCUGGCUCAUAACGAACGCUGGCGG
rnacentral:sRNA from 1 species